rfam:Stegodyphus mimosarum contig23880, whole genome shotgun sequence.
GCCUUUGUGGUGUAAUGGUCAGUACGCUCAGAGCGUAUUCGAGAGGUCCGUGGUUCGAGUCCCCGUGAGGGCA